AUUUAGACAAAGAAGUAUGAUUUAAACAAGGUUAAGAAACGCAUAGACAAGUUUCUACGACCAGAUAAUGACUCUGUUAAAGACCUGAUAGAAUAUGAUGUUGUAAGAUUAGACUACGGAAUGAAAGAGCAGGAUCCUUUGGAAAAAAUACAAUUUUACACUAAGGAUGAGCCGAAUAAAGGAAUACAGUUUGAGCGGAAACAAGUAUCUUACCUCUUACCCAAGACAUUCGAGGAAGUUAUCGUCCGUUUCUACUGUAAACCAAGGACGGAAGAAAAUCAGAUAGAUGAACCGGCUCAAAGCGAUAAAACAAAAAUCCGGAAAGCAGUUAUAAAAUAUCAAAAUAAGUAUUUAUGAAGGAGACGUAACACUAUAUAAUAAGAGAUUAAUACACGACAGAGUAGGACCGGAAUGUGAUAAUCGGCCCGCUAAGUUAAUAAUGGCCCCGAGGACUUCAGCCCAAGGACAUUAUUCAUUACAGGGCCGAUUAUCCCUUUUUGGCUCGUCUUUGACGUGUAUUAGUGUCUUUUAUACACUUGAUAGGUCUAAUAGUAGAGCAUUUUUUUAAUUAGAUCUACUUUGAUAUAAACAUAUUUGUUUCGUAGAAAUUCCUGUCUUAAGCAGAUUUCUUCUGUACAGUUGCUUCCCUUGUGUGUAUACAAAGUAGAAUAGAAUCAAGAAGCAAGUUUUAUUUUCAUUUUCUCAGUAUGUAUUUGUCGUAUUUGAUUUUUUUUUAUUUAAAUAAGACUUUGUUAGUGCAAAAUACGCUUCAGUUCUUACAUAAAAUCUAGCUAUUCGUGCUAAAAACCUACUUUCACUUUUACAGCUAGAUGUUUUUAAUGACGUAAAAUAUGACGUCAUAGUUUCAGUUUGUGCACGUACUUAUGUUCAGUGGGCCGAUUAAAUUUCAAUUUUAAAAUGAAUGUACUCACAUGUAUGUAUGAUUGUAUGACCAUUUUAUUAAAAUUCUGUUUAUAUCUUUAUAUCAGACUAAUAUCUUUAUCUCUAAUAAGAUUUAUCGUUUUGUUGAUGAAAAUGUUCAUUUUUAAAUUCAAUAAUUUAGAAAAACUAGAUCUAAACAUAAUGUCAACACAUCAAAAUUGAUUUUUGCUUUUUAAAAU